GGAAGCAAAAGUCGUAACAAGGUUUCCGUAGGUGAACCUGCGGAAGGAUCACUCACAAUGAGUGUUUUAUGGCACUCUUUAAAAAUCCAUAUCCACCUUGUGUGCAAUGUUUGUUGGGAGAGAGGCAACUCUUUCCCUUCACAAAUAUCAACCUAUAUCUUUAACAACAUUCGUCUGAUAACAUAUUAUGAAUAUACUUAAUUCAAAAUAUAACUUUCAACAACGGAUCUCUUGGCUCUC
rnacentral:misc_RNA from 1 species